AUGCUUCGGCGCAGUCAACGUAAUGUCAUAAAUCACUUCCACACUGCAUCUACUAAUGCACCAACGACACACCUUUACCCACAAAUGCCUCAUGAUAAUUCUUCAUCGGAUAGAAAUUGUGAUUCUGAUGAUGAGCAUAGUUUGGCAAAUUUAACUGAUUCUGAUGUUGAACCUUUGGAAGAUGUUGUUGAGAUCACCUUACAAGAUGCUUCAAACAUGGUUGUUACAGACUUACCAUCCAUACAGCCAUAA